rnacentral:rRNA from 1 species
GUGAGGAAUAUUGGUCAAUGGACGAAAGUCUGAACCAGCCAUGCCGCGUGGAGGAUGAAGGUCCUCUGGAUUGUAAACUUCUUUUAUAUGGGACGAAAAUGGGGCUUUCUAGCUCAACUGACGGUACCAUAUGAAUAAGCACCGGCUAACUCCGUGCCAGCAGCCGCGGUAAUACGGAGGGUGCAAGCGUUAUCCGGAUUCACUGGGUUUAAAGGGUGCGUAGGUGGAUUGGUAAGUCAGAGGUGAAAUCUCCGGGCUCAACUCGGAAACUGCCUUUGAUACUAUCAAUCUUGAAUAUUGUGGAGGUUAGCGGAAUAUGUCAUGUAGCGGUGAAAUGCUUAGAUAUGACAUAGAACACCAAUUGCGAAGGCAGCUGGCUACACAUAUAUUGACACUGAGGCACGAAAGCGUGGGGAUCAAACAGGAUUAGAAACCCCUGUAGUCC